rnacentral:rRNA from 1 species
AAACCAACCGGGAUUGCCUUAGUAACGGCGAGUGAAGCGGCAAAAGCUCAAAUUUGAAAUCUGGUACCUUCGGUGCCCGAGUUGUAAUUUGGAGAGGGCAACUUUGGGGCCGUUCCUUGUCUAUGUUCCUUGGAACAGGACGUCAUAGAGGGUGAGAAUCCCGUGUGGCGAGGAGUGCGGUUCUUUGUAAAGUGCCUUCGAAGAGUCGAGUUGUUUGGGAAUGCAGCUCUAAGUGGGUGGUAAAUUCCAUCUAAAGCUAAAUAUUGGCGAGAGACCGAUAGCGAACAAGUACAGUGAUGGAAAGAUGAAAAGAACUUUGAAAAGAGAGUGAAAAAGUACGUGAAAUUGUUGAAAGGGAAGGGCAUUUGAUCAAACAUGGUGUUUUGUGCCCUCUGCUCCUUGUGGGUAGGGGAAUCUCGCAUUUCACUGGGCCAGCAUCAGUUUUGGUGGCAGGAUAAAUCCAUAGGAAUGUAGCUUGCCUCGGUAAGUAUUAUAGCCUGUGGGAAUACUGCCAGCUGGGACUGAGGACUGCGACGUAAGUCAAGGAUGCUGGCAUAAUGGUUAUAUGCCGC